rnacentral:antisense_RNA from 2 species
CCCUAUGGCGGGCGGUGCGUGGGGGCCUCGUGCCCGCCGGCGUUUCGCGCUUUUGCCACCGGUAUUGCAACCACGCACCGUCCGCCGCCCUC